rnacentral:rRNA from 1 species
CCUACGGGAGGCUGCAGUGAGGAAUAUUGGUCAAUGGGCGGAAGCCUGAACCAGCCAAGUAGCGUGCAGGAUGACGGCCCUACGGGUUGUAAACUGCUUUUAUACGGGAAUAACGCCCCGUACGUGUAGGGCUUUGCAUGUACCGUAUGAAUAAGGACCGGCUAAUUCCGUGCCAGCAGCCGCGGUAAUCCGGAGGGUCCGGGCGUUAUCCGGAUUUAUUGGGUUUAAAGGGAGCGUAGGCGGUCUGUCAAGCGUGCUGUGAAAUGUCCGGGCUCAACCCGGGCCGUGCAGCGCGAACGGGCGGGCUUGAGUCAGCGGAAAGCAGGCGGAAUUCGUGGUGUAGCGGUGAAAUGCUUAGAUAUGACGAAGAACCCCGAUUGCGAAGGCAGCUUGCUGCAGCGGAACUGACGCUGAUGCUCGAAAGCGCGGGUAUCGAACAGGAUUAGAUACCCUUGUAGUC